GACGAACGCUGGCGGCGUGCCUAAUACAUACAAGUUGAGCGCUGAAGGUUGGUACUUGUACCAACUGGAUGAGCAGCGAACGGGUGAGUAACGCGUGGGGAAUCUGCCUUUGAGCGGGGGACAACAUUUGGAAACGAAUGCUAAUACCGCAUAAAAACUUUAAACACAAGUUUUAAGUUUGAAAGAUGCAAUUGCAUCACUCAAAGAUGAUCCCGCGUUGUAUUAGCUAGUUGGUGAGGUAAAGGCUCACCAAGGCGAUGAUACAUAGCCGACCUGAGAGGGUGAUCGGCCACAUUGGGACUGAGACACGGCCCAAACUCCUACGGGAGGCAGCAGUAGGGAAUCUUCGGCAAUGGACGAAAGUCUGACCGAGCAACGCCGCGUGAGUGAAGAAGGUUGUCGGAUCGGAAAACUCUGUUGGUAGAGAAGAACGUUGGUGAGAGUGGAAAGCUCAUCAAGUGACGGUAACUACCCAGAAAGGGACGGCUAACUACGUG
rnacentral:rRNA from 1 species